GAAAUGCAAUAAGUAAUGUGAAUUGCAGAAUUCAGUGAAUCAUCGAAUCUUUGAACACACCUUGUGCUCCUUGGUAUUCCAAGGAGCAUGCCUGUUUGAGUGUCAUUAAAUUCUCAACCUCUUCAGCUUUUGCUAGUUUGAAGGCGGAUUGGAUUGUUGGGGGCUUUGUGGGCUUUCUUUGGAAAGUCAGCUCCUCUUAAAUGCAUUAGCAGAAAAACCCUUGUGGACCAUCUUUGGUGUGAUAAUUAUCUACGCCAUUGCCACAAAGCAGUUCCAUUUUUACAAUGGGGGGGCUUUCAGCUUCAAACCAUCCCUCUGAAUGAGACAACAUUUUAUUGACAUUUUGACCUCAAAUCAGGUAGGACUACCCACUGAACUUAA
rnacentral:misc_RNA from 1 species